rnacentral:rRNA from 1 species
UACGUAGGGUGCGAGCGUUGUCCGGAAUUAUUGGGCGUAAAGGGCUCGUAGGCGGUUUGUCGCGUCGGGAGUGAAAACCCAGGGCUUAACCCUGGGCUGGCUUUCGAUACGGGCAGACUAGAGGUAUGCAGGGGAGACUGGAAUUCCUGGUGUAGCGGUGGAAUGCGCAGAUAUCAGGAGGAACACCGGUGGCGAAGGCGGGUCUCUGGGCAGUAACUGACGCUGAGGAGCGAAAGCGUGGGGAGCGAACAGG